rnacentral:lncRNA from 1 species
AAAAAUAAAGUAAAUAAAAAGGAAAUAAAGGAAAGAAACAAAAGAAUAAAAAGAAGGAAGGAAACAGAAUAGCAGGAAACGAAACAGAGAAGAAACAAGGGAGAAAGAAAGAAAGAAAAGAAAAAGGGAAAGUAAGGUUUUAAAGGUUCCAAGUUAAUUUGGUAAGUCAAUUUAGCCCAUUUUCUUAUAAUUUUUGAGUUUUUUUGGAAUCCUAGAGAUAAAUAGUACUUGUUUUAAGUAGAAAUUUUGAAAGUCAUUAGAUUUCUAAGUUUGGUUCAUGUUGAAUAAAAUGAUAGAAUUGGGGGUUUAUUUGAUAGAAAUUUUGAUUGGAAUUGAAUAAAGGAUUGAAUCGUAAACUAAGCUAUAAGUUUUGAGUUUUAGGGAUUAAAUGGAAAUAAAUUCGAAAUUAUGAAAAUAUGCUGGAAAUUUAAUAGUUAAGUAUGAGUUUGGACAAAAUUUGAAUAGAAAUAAAGUAUGAAUUAAGAUAGAAAAGUAAGAGAAUUUAGUUAGGAUUAAAUUGAAAUUAAAGUAAAUCAACAUUUUGCACUAAAACUGUUUUAGACAGCAGCAGUAGUCUAACUUUGAAAAAUCAUAAAAAAAUUAUAGAAAUCGAAUUAGAAGAUGAAUAAAAUAUGAAAUUAAAGCUUAUUGAGUCUAGUUUCUUAUAGAAGAAACGAUAUAAGCAAUUGAAAUGUAAAUUAUGAGAUAUAAUGAAUUUUGUGAGACAAGGUCAGAAUGAAUUCGGGUUCCCCUGUUCUGACUUUGGAAAAUCACCAAAAAUUAAAGAAAAAUAAUUAGAGGCUUAAAGUUAUAUUUUUAGAAUCCCUAAUUAGUCUAUUUUCAGGAGAAAUCAACGGGAAUAUUAUCCGAGUUCUGUACUGUGAGAUAAUUAAUUUUUAGUGAAGAAGGGACGAAACUGUCAGACAGCAGAAUAGGGGUGAAUUUAAAGAAUAAACUGUACUUAAUGGCUAAACCAAAAAAUCUAAAAAUUUUAUUGUAAGAAGAUUUGUGAGUCUAGUUUCAGGAAAAAUUAGCGGAUCUUAAUUUAGAAUUCUGUAACUCAAGAUAUGAAUUAGUAAUGUAUUAAUGAUUAUGAAUUGUAUUAAUUUCGUAGUCAAUGUGGUACCAGAAAUCUCGGCUAAGAAAGGACAAGACAAAGUCAACGGGAGUUAGCUCGAAAAUUACGGUUUGUAUUUCUAUAAUCCGAACUUAGUUAUUAUUUGUUAUAUUUAUAUACAUAUGGCAAUUGUUAGUGUUAGAAUUAUGAUGUUUUACAGUUGGAAUGGGUUGAUUUUGGUAUGCGAUGAAUUUAUUAAAUUUAUAUUGAUUGAAAUUAUUUUGAUUGAAUUUAUAUUGAUUGAAUUAUAUAAUAUAUAUGAUUUAUGUAGAAAUUUGAAUAUUGAAUGAAUAUUUUAUUGAAAAAAAUAUAUUGAUUGGAAAUAUGAGGAAAUUGAUAUGAAUAUAUGAGAUUGUGAUAUUUGAAUAUUUGAUAUUGAAAAGUGAAUUGAAUUGUAUUGAAUUAUGAAUUAAUGUGAAUAAUUGAAAUAUAUUGUUGAAUUGAAUGAAAUUGUAUGAAUUGUAAAAAUGAGUGAAUAUAUGUGAUUAUCAGAAUGGUAUAUUGAUGAAAGAAUUAUUAAAUUGAGAAAGUGAAUGAAAUACCCUAUUAACUAGUCGGGCUGAGUCGGAUAUAAUUGGCAUGCCAUAGGAUCUGGAAGUGUACGGGAUUUGCCGGCUUUAUCGAUCAGGCACUUUAUGUGUCGUAUUUCAGGCACCUCGUGUGUCGUAUCAGGCACCUCGUGUGUCGUUUUAGGCACUUUAUGUGUUAUUGAACAAUUAUGUUAUUGUGUUUAUUAUAUGAACUGUAUAAAAUUUAUAUGGUAAGUAGUUGAAAUUUAUCUAUGAAUAAAUAAUUGAAUAAUUGUAAUUAUUAUUAUGAUCUUAAGUAUUUGUUAUAUUAUUAAUUGUUCGGAUUAUAGAAAUAUCACUGAGUAUAUCAUACUCAGCGUACGGUUUGUUUCCGUGCGCAGGUUAAGUAAAGAUAGUACGUUGAAUCAGCAUCCCAAGACGAUCCCGAAUUCAUUAAGGUAAAGUAUGUUGAGUAUUGAUAAUGGCAUGUACCCAGGAUGUUUAAUGAGAGUCAUUUAGGUUGUAAAAGUAUUGAUGAAAUGAGUAAAUUAUGGUUGGCAAUGGUAUGUAGUAUGAAUUUUGAAAUUUACUAAAAAUUCGUAGUGAUUCUAAAUUAGUCUCGAAUUGAAUUUACUGUUUAUAUUGGACCGUGAGGGCCCAUUAAAGGGACGACAUCUUAAAACUAGGGUGUGUGUGAAUAUUUAUUUUAAUUAAUGACCGAAAUUGGACUGUAUUGACUGGUAAUGUCUCGUAACCUUGUUCCGGUGACGGCAUAGGGUUAGGGGACGUUACAAAUUAGUGGUAUCAGAGCUAUUCAAUUUUAGCCAAUUCUCGGACUAAAUCGAGCUCGAAAUUGAGUCUAGAGGUACAUGCCAUAAUUGAGUCGAAAUUGAGUCGGGAUCGGAUGCUGAUAUAUUUGUUUGGUACUGUUUUAUAGUGAAAAUGUUAGACGAAAAUAUUGAUAGUAUUGAUUAUGAAAUGUAUACUGGAGACGAAUAGUCUCGUGAAUUAGAUGAAAACUGAAUCAACAACACUGGUUAUAAACUCAAUGGGUAAUUAAUUACUGAAUGAUGACUGAUGAAAUAAUAAAAAAAAUGAUACAUAAUUAUUUAGAAUUAUAACUGAUGUUCUUCAGUGAAUAGAAGAAAUUGUAUUUGUUAUGAUAUAUGCCCCUCCUGUUUCUCAAUCGCUUCUCGAAGUGCUUCAAGGUACAGAGUUUGUCUGAAUGGAUAACAUAUCUGUUGUUAAUAUUUUGUACAUAUAGUGUGGAAGAAUUGAAAAUUACAGCUGAAAAUGAUCUUGAAAGAAUUGAAAUUUGGCAAGAGAAUAUUAUCAAGGCUGUAAAUGAAUUGCUUGGUUCGUCGAAUAAAUGAUAGGAAGGUAUGAUAUUUCUACUAAAAGAUUCAAUUUACCAAAGGUGGAAAAUAUUGAUUUAUGCUGUAACUAUGAAAGGGUUAUUUGGAAUUUUCUAAAAUGAGUUCUGAAAGAAAUAUAUGUUAGUCAGAGAUUUCCUGAUUAGAAAUGCAAAGAAAUUUUUGAAGCUUAAACAGGGCCAUAUGAUUGUAACUGAGUAUGAAGGGAGUUUGUUUGAUUGAAUAAGUAUAUCAGAGGGUAUAUUCCAAUAGAAACCAUAAUGUACAAAUGGUUUGAAGAUGGUUUAAAUGAAGACAGAAGCUGAAGAAUAUAGAAUAAGGAAUGGAAUAUGUGUUAGACAUGAUUCUCCUGAUUAUUAUCUUAGUGAUUGCUUGAAGAAAAUUGAAAAAAAACAUUAUUCAGAGUUCAAGACCGAGUAAUGUAGUUAACAGAGGUAGGUUACCCUGUAAUCGCAGAAAUACGAGUGAAAGCCGAAGUGUGACAAAUGACUUCACUGUAAAAUCUGGGGAAUGAACAUCAGCCAGGGUAUAUGUUAAUUGUAUAUGAGAAGAUUUAUCUCUACCGGAUGUCAUUACAGGUACUUUCUUCUUUAUCGACACUAAUAUGAUUAUUUUAAAUUGAUCUUGGUUUGACUAUUCCUAUGAUUACAUAAGUUCAGUAUCUAUUAAAGAUUUGUCUGUUGAGUUUGCUGAAAUUUUUGGAUUGAAGCAUUAAAUUUUUCAGAUUAGUAUUUAUGGGCUGAUAAGAUCUGCAAGAAAUGUUUGAUAAUGAUACUAUUGUUUUCUGAUCGAUUUAAUGUUCUUACUGUUUGAUAUAAUUUCAAUAAUGGAAUGGUUAAUUCUGCAUGAUAUGGUGGUAAAUUAUAAGCAGAAGUAUAAUAUGUUGCAAGAUCAAGAUGAUGAAAUGUUUUGUUGAAUCAGAGAAGAUUGAGCUAAUUGUCUAUUGUGAUAUUGAACAUGCCAACACAGAUAUAUGCCGGAAAGGGGUCAUGGUAUUUACCUUGUUUAUGUAUUGAAUAUUAAAGUAUUUAAGUUAAAGUUUAAAUCAGUGGCAAUAGUGCAAGAGAAUUCUAAUGUGUUUCCAGAAGAGUUGCCCGAACUACUGUUGAUUGAAGAAGUUGAAUGUGCUAUAGAUUUUGUAACUGAAAUGAUAGUGAAAAAUAUAUUUGAAAUCAGAGGUUUUCUAAAACUAGUCAGUUAUUACAGAAAGAUGUGGAAUUGGAAUGAUCUGAUAGACAUUAGCAAGGUUCUGAUUAGUUGAAAGCUCAGUUAACUGAAGCAUUAGUUCUGGCUUAGUCUGAAAUCCGAUGAAGAAACUUGUGAUUUACAGGGAUAGCAAUGUUUUAAUGCAAGAAAGAAAAUUAAUGAAUUAUGUUUUGGAAAGUUAGAAUUAUAUGAGAAGAAUUAUUUGAUACAUGAUUCGGAAGUGGUAGCUAUUGUCUUUGCACUAAAGGAUCAUGAUUUGAUAAUUGAAUAUUAUCCAGAAAAAAAGCAAAUGGAGUUAUGAAUACUCAGAAUUGAAAGUUUUGCUUUGUGUUAUGAGCUAUGAACACUCGAUUGUCAUUAUCUGAUGAUCGCUCAAUUCUAGUUGAAAUAAAGGUUAAACUUACUUCCUUACAGCAGGUCUGCAAGUUCAGAAAUGUGGUAAUGAGUUAUCGGUUAAAUGGAUAUAGUGAUUAAACAUUUCAGAUUGGAUAUGAUGGUUGUUUGCUAUUUAAAAAUAAAAGCUGAACAGAGGGAUUCAGAACUUAUACAGGAGAAUUUGCAUGAAAUUAUAGUAGUACUAUGUCUAUGCAUUCUGGAAGAAUAAGAUGUACAGUGAUUUGAGACAGAUGUAUUGAAGACUGGGAAAAGAAAACCAAUACUUUGAAUUUGCAUAUAAAUGUUUAUAUUAGGUACAAAUAUCUUCAGAACUGUUGCAACCAGUGGUGACAUCAGAAUGGAAAUGGGAUAGAAUUUUUAUGGAAUCUAAGUUGGAAUUAUCUCUAUUUUUGAAAAAGAAUAUGCGGAGCUGCUUGAUUCGUGAAAUUGAAGAAAAGUAGAAGUAAUUCGAGAUAGACUGAAAGCAGUUUUGACAAACAGAAAUUAUAUAUAGACUUGAAACGUUGGGAUAUUGAGUAUUUUGUUAGUGAUAUGGUAUUUCUUAGAGAUUCACAUUGGAAGAACAUUUUGAAGAUCGGGUUGAAAGAGAAAUUAAGUUCUUGUUCUGUUUGGCUAUGUGAAGUUGUAGAAAAUUCGGCCCGGUAAAAUAUUCUUUGGCUUUGCUUUUGAAGUUACAGAAAGUUUAUGAUAAUUUUUCAUGAUUUGAAGCUCAGAAGAUUAUAGAGAUCAAAUCUUUUACAUGUUAUAUCGACAAAGGAUAUUGAGAUUUGACGCAAUCUAUUGUAUGAGAAAGAGGCGGUUGAGAUACUAGCUUGAGCGGUAAUGUCAUAAUACUGAGGAAGCAAUACGGGAACCGAAAGAAACAGUGAGAUCACUGAACCCCCACCUCUCUUUUAGGAAAAUUUCGAGGACGAAAUUUCUUAAGGGGGAGAGAAUUGUAACGACCCGAAUUUUACCGUUACUGAAAAAGUGUAUUUUCGGGUCUCCAUUUCUGAAAAAACGGAUUCGUAAAUAUUUAUUAAAAAUAUUUACGAAGUAAAAUGAGUGGUUAAUUAGAGUUUAAUUAAGUGAAUUUAAUUUAAUUAAGAGUAAUUAAGAAAAAGGACUAAAUUGAAUAAAUGAUGAAAGUUAAAUUGUAGAUUAAAAGAAAAUGAAGAGGACCAAAAUGGCAAUUAUGCCAGUUUUCCUAAGUGAGGCGGCAUAAACAUAAAAAUAUGAGAUUUUUAUGUGUUAAAAUAUAUAUUAAAUUAUUAUUAUUAAAAGUAAAGUAAAUAAAAAGGAAAUAAAGGAAAGAAACAAAAGAAUAAAAAGAAGGAAGGAAACAGAAUAGCAGGAAACGAAACAGAGAAGAAACAGGGGAGAAAGAAAGAAAGAAAAGAAAAAGAGAAAAUAAGGUUUUAAAGGUUCCAAGUUAAUUUGGUAAGUCAAUUUAGCCCAUUUUCUUAUGAUUUUUGAGUUUUUUUGGAAUCCUAGAGAUAAAUAGUACUUGUUUUAAGUAGAAAUUUUGAAAGUCAUUAGAUUUCUAAGUUUGGUUCAUGUUGAAUAAAAUGAUGGAAUUGGGGGUUUAUUUGAUAGAAAUUUUGAUUAGAAUUGAAUAAAGGAUUGAAUCGUAAACUAAGCUAUAAGUUUUGAGUUUUAGGGAUUAAAUGGAAAUAAAUUCGAAAUUAUGAAAAUAUGCUGGAAAUUUAAUAGUUAAGUAUGAGUUUGGAAAAAAUUUGAAUAGAAAUAAAGUAUGAAUUAAGAUAGAAAAGUAAGAAAAUUUAGUUAGUAUUAAAUUGAAAUUAAAGUAAAUCAACAUUUUGCACUAAAACUGUUUUAGACAGCAGCAGUAGUCUAACUUUGAAAAAUCAUAAAAAAAUUAUAGAAAUCGAAUUAGAAGAUGAAUAAAAUAUGAAAUUAAAGCUUAUUGAGUCUAGUUUCUUAUAAAAGAAAGGAUAUAAGCAAUUGAAUUGUAAAUUAUGAGAUAUAAUGAAUUUUGUGAGACAAGGUCAGAAUGAAUUCGGGUUCCCCUAUUCUGACUUUGGAAAAUCACCAAAAAUUAAAGAAAAAUAAUUAGAGGCUUAAAGUUAUAUGUUUAGAAUCCGUAAUUAGUCUAUUUUCAAGAGAAAUUAACGGGAAUAUUAUCCGAGUUCUGUACUGUGAGAUAAUUAAUUUUUAGUGAAGAAGGGACGAAACUGUCAGACAGUAGAAUAGGGGUGAAUUUAAAGAAUAAACUGUACUUAAUGGCUAAACCAAAAAUUCUGAAAAUUUUAUUGUAAGAAGAUUUGUGAGUCUAGUUUUGGGAAAAAUUAGCUGAUCUUAAUUUAGAAUUCUGUAACUCAAGAUAUGAAUUAGUAAUGUAUUAAUGAUUAUGAAUUGUAUUAAUUUCGUAGUCAAUGUGGUACCAGAAAUCUCGGCUAAGAAAGGACAAGACAAAGUCAACGGGAGUUAGCUCGAAAAUUACGGUUUGUAUUUCUAUAAUCCGAACUUAGUUAUUAUUUUUUAUAUUUAUAUACAUAUGGCAAUUUUUAGUGUUAGAAUUAUGAUUUUUUACAGUUGGAAUGGGUUGAUUUUGGUAUGCGAUGAAUUUAUUAAAUUUAUAUUGAUUGAAAUUAUUUUGAUUGAAUUUAUAUUGAUUGAAUUAUAUAAUAUAUAUGAUUUAUGUAGAAAUUUGAAUAUUGAAUGAAUAUUUUAUUGAAAAAAAUAUAUUGAUUGGAAAUAUGAGGAAAUUGAUAUGAAUAUAUGAGAUUGUGAUAUUUGAAUAUUUGAUAUUGAAAAGUGAAUUGAAUUGUAUUGAAUUAUGAAUUAAUGUAAAUAAUUGAAAUAUAUUGUUGAAUUGAAUGAAAUUGUAUGAAUUGUGAAAAUAAGUGAAUAUAUGUGAUUAUCAGAAUGGUAUAUUGAUGAAAGAAUUAUUAAAUUGAGAAAGUGAAUGAAAUACCCUAUUAACUAGUCGGGCUGAGUCGGAUAUAAUUGACAUGCCAUAGGAUCUGGAAGUGUACGGGAUUUGCCGGCUUUAUCGAUCAGGCACUUUAUGUGUCGUAUUUCAGGCACCUCGUGUGUCGUAUUAGGCACCUCGUGUGUCGUUUUAGGCACUUUAUGUGUCGUAUAUUGAUCAGGUACUAUGUACCGUUUUAGGCACAAUGUGCCGUACUAGUGUGUUUGGGUUGGAAUCCGUGUAUCCGUCAAAGUCUGGGUUUGUUAAUAGGGGUAAAUAAGUGAAAGAUAAAUCGAAUAAAUUUGAUUGAUCAAGCUAUUGAAAUGAAACGAGAAAUUGAAUUGGGAAUUGAAAAUUUAGAUAUGAAAUUGAAAAUAUGAACCAAAGGUUCAUGAAAUGAUUGGAGUUCGAAUUGAUGAUAUAUGAUGCCACUUGAUGAAUUGAAAUGUGAUUUGAGAUAUAUGAAUCGUAUGUAUAUACUGAAAGCUAUCAGGGAUAAUAAGUUGAUACGAUAUAAAUGAAAUUGACUGUUAUUGAAAUGAAUUAAAAUGGAAUAUGAUUGAUAAGUAUAUAGUUGAAUAUAGUUUAAUGAUAUUGAAUUGUGAGUAAAUUAAGGAAAGCUAUACCGAAUAGUAAGUGAAAGAACGGAGUAAAUAGUAAUGGAUUUAUUUAAGAAUUGAACAAUUAUGUUAUUGUGUUUAUUAUAUGAACUGUAUAAAAUUUAUAUGGUAAGUAGUUGAAAUUUAUCUAUGAAUAAAUAAUUGAAUAAUUGUAAUUAUUAUUAUGAUUUUAAGUAUUUGUUAUAUUAUUAAUUGUUCGGAUUAUAGAAAUACCACUGAGUAUACCAUACUCAGCGUACGGUUUGUUUCCGUGCGCAGGUUAAGUAAAGAUAGUACGUUGAAUCAGCAUUCCAAGACGAUCCCGAAUUCAUUAAGGUAAAGUAUGUUGAGUAUUGAUAAUGGCAUGUACCCAGGAUGUUUAAUGAGAGUAAUUUAGGUUGUAAAAGUAUUGAUGAAAUGAGUAAAUUAUGGUUGGCAAUGGUAUGUAGUAUGAAUUUUGAAAUUUACUAAAAAUUCGUAGUGAUUCUAAAUUAGUCUCGAA